rnacentral:lncRNA from 1 species
CACCUUAAUUCUUUGGGUUAGAACUGUAGCGAGUUGGCAGCCUCGUGAAGGCUAGGUUGAAAGCUCUGCCCAUAAUCCCUCCUUUCAUGCACCAAAUCUCUCCUUUCCUGCACCAAAUCCCAUAACAAAGCUCCAUCUUUAGCUAUGCUUCUACUCCGUUUUCUUCCUUGGUUUCUGCAUGAGCUUAAAAUGGUAAGUUUCUUCAUGCACGUUAAAACAAGGUGCGGGACUUAAGGUUGGGCUAUGUCAAUGCAUGAAUCUAGGCAAAUUGGGUU